AAUUUUGGUUUCGAAGUUGUCUGAGUAAAUGUGAUAUAUGUUGACACUGUUGGGCUAUUACCAAUAAGAAUUUUAAAGGAAAUCAUUUAUGACGAAAUGUCUCAUUUACCAAAGAAAAAAAGGAAAAAACAAAUGUUAAAGGAAAGACAGAAAGACUCUAAAGUACCUUUUCAUUUCUCUUUAAGUGACCUAACCUAACGGUAAAAUACCUUUUCUUGUCAUCACACGUGAUUGGGUUUUGUAACUAAUCUGAGGUAGUUGAGUCAAUUUUGGAUAAAUGAGUGUCGAGGUGAAACUUUAGUAUAAAUACGUGGUCUUCUUCACUCCAAAAUUUUGGUGUGUUGAUCUCUUGGCAUAACAACGUCAGUGCUAUGAUCAAGAAGUUCCUCCUCAAUAUGUCCAUGUAUCUUUACUCUUGACAAUUUUAAUCAUCUUGUUCUAAGACCGGAGUUGAGAGAGUCGUGUGGGGUCUGGAGGGAGAUGUGCACAUAUAUUUAAGUUAUGUAGUCGUUCUUAUUUCUCUGUAGUCAAUUCCAACAUGGAGUGAGUCAGCAAAGGCAGCUUCCUGAAUAAAAUUCAGCAACAAAUGUUUUAAUUUAUUAUCGACUAUGAAGCAUAUAUACUUCAUGUAAGGUAGAGUUAAUAUUGGAUACAUAUCAGAUACUGAUACACCUAAAUACUUCUUAGAUAUAUAUCUGAUUUGCAUAUCUAUCUUUUUUGUAAAUAUCGCAUACAUAUGUCCCAUUCAGUCUUUGGGAACUAAGUGGGAUAUUUUAAAAGCACGUUGCUCUAGCCCAAAACUAAAAUUAAAAAAACCCAACUUUAGAAUCAUGUAAUCUACAUUGUGUAAGAACAAAAAAACACCAAACUCUAGAAUCAUGUGAUCUUCUUUACACAAGUCUCCACAAAGCUAUAAACAAAAUAACCCACUUGAUAUCUUUAACAGUUCAACGAAGAAAUUCUUCGUUUAUCUUCAUUCUUCAUUCUUCUCCUUCUAAUCUUUUUCUUCUAUGAUUGGUUUGACUCUGAUGCAUCACCAACCUUGUCUGUUGUAUUUUAUUGACCAAUGUUUCAAUACCUGUGAUGUUGCCUCUUGUACUGUAUUUCAAUGUUAGUGUUAUAUUUUGUUUGUUGUCAUUAGCUUUUUAUGCUUUUAAGUGGAUUGUAUUUUAGUAUCUUUAUAUUAACUUACAUAUAUCCUGGAUUUUUUUGGUGAAAAAAUGUAUUCAUAUCCUAGUUUUUAAGAAAUUGACUAUUGUCAUAUUUGUAUUUCAUAUCCAUAUUUGUGUUUGUUUCAUAUAUUCUUGACCUCUUUUGUCACUCCUUUGUCAGAUAGCACUAUUCAAUACGGCCCUUAGCGUUAAGAACUUCAAAGCAGCUAUGGAAGUACCUGCAGCUCUUGGUCUGGAUCCAAAAAUUGCAAACUCAGGUGAAGCUUUUUAAUCACUCUUUAAAACAAUCCCAGCUAAACUUUAGUACUUUACCAUAUUGGUUGUAGUAGCUAAGUUGUUUGCAAUAUAUUGAAUGUUUUCCUUAACUUGGCAGUGCACCGAGUAGUUAACCAUGGCCUUGGUUCUAUUUUGUCAUCCUCACUACAGAGCGCAGUUCUGGAUGGAAUUUUUAAGAUAGGUCGUUUGCAGCUCUCAGAUACAUUUCUGAAUGUUGAAAACCCUAUUGGAUCUUCAAGACUUGCAAAACUAAGACAUAUAUUUGAUGAAGGGAAGAGCCUUCAACUUCAGUUCCCUGCUGAGGAUCUUGGUUUCAGGUUUUUCUUCUCAAAUUCAAUGCAUGCACUAAUUUUUGUCUUUUUUAUAUGUGUUUAGUGAGAGGAGUGCGUUAUAUAAACUCUUUAAACCCUAGAGGCUCAUUUAUUUUGUAAUUCUAUAUUAUUCUCAAUAAUAAAAUUGUUCUUCGACAUAGUUAAUAGUAAACCACUUAAAUAUGUGUCAUGAUUUUCUACUUUUAUGUUUUCCUGUGUUUGUAACUGGUGUGUGAAACUAUGUUCAUAAGUAAAUCUUCUUCAAUGGGGGAUCUGGUUUAAUGAUAGCUUAAUAAUACUCAUUUCAAUCUUAUCCAUGGGAAUUAGAUACUCUGAAGGGGCAAUUAUUCGUGACAAUAAUCUACUUGGUGGUCGAGAAGAACCUACAGGUCGUCGGAGACAGUACCUUCCUUCUGCAGAUCCAGGAUCAAGGCUGCCUCAUAUGAAUGUGAGAGUUUUAGCCAGUGAGGUACAGUGUCCCCAUUCCC
rnacentral:lncRNA from 1 species